rnacentral:lncRNA from 1 species
GAGAGGAGAGAGGGGAAGAUGGGAGAGGAGAGGGGGAGGGGAGAGUGCGGGAGAGAGAGACAGAGUUGGGAGGGAGAGAGGAGGGGGGGAGAGAGGAGAGAGGGGGAGAUGGGAGAGGAGAGGGCGAGAGGGGGGAGGGGAGAGUGUGAGAGAGAGAGACAGAGUUGGGAGGGAGAGAGGAGGGGGAGAGAGAGGAGAGAGGGGGAGAUGGGAGAGGAGAGGGCGAGAGGGGGGAGGGGAGAGUGUGGGAGAGAGAGACAGAGUUGGGAGGGAGAGAGGAGGGGGAGAGAGGAGAGAGGGGAAAUGAACCUUUAUUUAACUAGGCAAGUCAGUUAAGAACAAAUUCUUUGGUGAUGUGGACACCAAGGAACAUGAAACUCUCGACCCGCUCCACUACAUCCCCGUCGAUGUUCAUGGGGGCCUGUUCGGUCCUCCUUUAAGUCCUGUAGUCCACGAUCAUCUCCUUUGUCUCGCUCACGUUGAGGGAGAGGACAGGCCAGGUCUCUGACCUCCUCCCUAUAGGGCCCGUCUCGUCGUUGUCGGUGAUCGGGCCUACUACUACCACUGUUGUGCCGUCAGCAAACUUAAUGAUGGCCGUUGCAGUUGUGAGUGAACUGGAAGUACAGGAAAGGGUCUGAGCACGUACCCCUUGAUAACUGACUGUAGACUACUCAUUCUCCUUUAUGAUGGCCGUUGGAGCAGUAUAUUACAGGUAGAUUGCUGGGUUAAUUCCUGUUUAUUGCUGGGUUUGUCGACAAGGCAGAUUCCUUUAGGUUUUACAAUGGGCUUAGGUGGGCCUUUGGAGAGCGUGCGUGUGUGUGUGUGUGUGUGUGUGUGUAAUGAUUGAAGGAGGGAUGUUUUUCUGUCCUCCGUCAUUCGAGUCACUCAUUCCCUCGUUCGUGCCAUCCUGUGGUUUAACGGUUUGAUCUGAUGGCCUGGUGACCUGGGCGUCCGGUCACACGAACACAAUAACCUUCUGAUGGGGAUUGACUGGCAGUUCAUCUUUCAUCUGGUUUCACAUCAACAGGGUUAGAGAAGGGGGAAAGGCUCUCUCUCUCUCUCUCUCUCUCUCUCUCUCUCUCUCUCUCUCUCUCUCUCUCUCUCUCUCUCUCUCUCUCUUUGUCUUUCUCUCUCUCUCUCUCUCCCUUUCUCUCUCUCUCUCUCUCUCUCUCUCUCUCUCUCUCUCUCUCUCCGCUCUCUCUCUCUCUCUCUCUCACCAUCUCUCUCUCUGUCUGUCUCUCUCUCUCUCUGUCUCUCUCUCUCUCUCUCUCUCUCUCUCUCUCUCUCUCUCUCUCUCUCUCUCUCUCUCUGUCUCUCUCUCUCUGUCUCUGUUUCUCUCUCUCUCUCCCUCUCUUUCUCUCUCUCUCUCUGUCUUUCUCUCUCUCUCUCUCUCUCUCUCUCUCUCUCUCUCUCUCUCAAAUUCAGAUUGCUUUAUUGGCAUGAAAUACAAGUGGUAGAUAGCCAAACCAGUACAGUGGUACAUUAUUACAGUAAGGACAGUAUAGAGGUACAUUAUUACAGUAAGGACAGUAUAGAGGUACAUUAUUACAGUAAGGACAGUACAGUGGUACAUCAUUACAGUAAGGACAGUACAGUGGUACAUUAUUACAGUAAGGACAGUACAGUGGUACAUUAUUACAGUAAGGACAGUACAGUGGUAUAUAUAUAUAUAUAUAUAUAAACCAGUAUAGAGGUACAUUAUUACAGUAAGGACAGUACGGUGGUACAUCAUUACAGUAAGGACAGUACAGAGGUACAUUAUUACAGUAAGGACAGUAUAGCGGUACAUUAUUACAGUAAGGACAGUAUAGCGGUACAUUAUUACAGUAAGGACAGUACAGAGCAGUGAGGGAACAUGGAUGAUGGGUCCAUUAUGUACUUGUCAGUUAUAUACAAUGUAAACACUACAAGGAAUGAAUGGUCAUGGGAUGUGCCUCAGGCUGUGACAAUCAUAUAUCUGGCUGUUAUAUUAACAUGUCUGUCAUUAUGAAUAGAUACAUACAUAUAUAUACAUAUAUAUAUAUAUAUAUAUAUACAUACAGUGUUUUAACGACGGGGCAAUAGUUAAAGUACAUGGUAGAAAAAUGAACAUUAAAUUAUCCAUUGCACCUGUACAUAGCCCAUCUGUAUAAUAGCCCAUCUACCUACCUCAUCCCCAUAUUGUUUUUUAUUUUAUUUAUUUUGCUCCUUUUGCAGCCCAGUACAUCUACUUGCACAUUCAUCUUCUGCACGUCUAUCACUCCAGUGUUUAAUUGCUAUAUUGUAAUUAUUUCGCACCACUACGGCCUAUUUAUUGCCUUACCUCCUUUAUCCUACCUCAUUUGCAUACACUGUAUAUAGACUUUCUCUAUUGUGUUAUUGGCUGUAUGUUUUGUUUAUUAUACUCCAUGUGUAACUCUGUGUUGUUGUUUGUGCCGCACUGCUUUGCUUUUAUCUUGGCCGGGUCGCAGUUGUAAAAUGAGAACUUGUUCUCAACUAGCCUACCUGGUUAAAUAAAGGUGAAAUAAAAAAAUUUAAAAUUCUGGCAACAGCACUGUUGGAUAUUCCUGUAGUCAGCAUGCCAAUUGCACCCUCCUCCCUCAAAACUUGAGACAUCUGUGGCGUUGUGUUGUGUGACAAAACUGCACAUUUUAGAGUGAUCUUUGUUUGUCCCCAGCACAAGGUGCACCUGUGCAAAGUUAAUUAUUUUUAAAUGGACAGUAAACAUUUACACUCACAAAAGUUCCAAAGGAAUAAAGACAUUUCAAAUAUAUUACUGUCUAUAUACAGUGUUGUAACGAUGUGUAAAAAAGUACAAAAGGUAAAAUAAAUAAACAUAAAUAUGGGUUGUAUUUACAAUGGUGUUUGUUCUUCACUGGUUGACCUUUUCUUGUGGCAACAGGUCACAAAUCCUGCUGUUGUGAUGGAACACUGUGGUAUUUCACCCAGUAGAUAUGGGAGUUUAUCAAGAUUGGGUUUGUUUUCGAAUUCUUUGUGGAUCUGUGUAAUCUGCGGGAAAUAUGUGUCUCUAAUAUGGUCAUACAUUUGGCAGGAAGUUAGGCAGUGCAGUUCAGUUUCCACCUCAUUUUGUGGGCAGUGUUGCACAUAGCCUGUCUUCUCUUGAGAGCCCAGGUCUGCCUACGGCGGCCUUUCUCAAUAGCAAGGCUAUGCUCACUGAGUCUGUACAUAGUUAAAGUUUCCUUAAGUUUGGGUCAGUCACAGUGGUCAGAUAUUCUGCUACUGUGUCCUCUCUGUUUGGGGACAAAUAACAUUCUAGUUUUCUCUGUUUUUUUGUUAAUUCUUUCCAAUGUGUCAUGUAAUUAUAUUUUAGUUUUCUCAUGAUUUGGUUGGUGUCUAAUUGUGUU